AUGGUAAAGAAAGCAUUGCAUUAUGCGCAAGGCACAAAGGACUACAUGCUAAUAUACAAGAGAAGUGAUUCCCUAGAGAUAAAAGGGUAUUCAGACGCAGACUUUGCGGGGGACAAAGAUGAUAGAAAAUCCACGUCGGGAUACGUAUUCACCCUCGCUAGGGGAGCUAUUUCCUGGAAAACCUCCAAACAGUCGAUAGUUGCAUCAUCCAUGAUGUAUGCAGAAUUCAUAGCAUGCUUCGAAGCCACGGGGCAGGCGAUAUGGCUAAAAAAUUUGUACCCGGCUUGA
rnacentral:rRNA from 1 species